UGGCUCAGUGAGUAGAGCAUGAGACUCUUGAUCUCAAGGUUGUGAGUUCGAGCCCCCGC
rnacentral:tRNA from 1 species